rnacentral:rRNA from 1 species
UCCCCCCCCUUUUUUUUCAAACAUGUCUCCAUUGGUUGGAAUAUGGAGUCUGGCCUGCCCAUUGAAUAUUAUUUUUAAAAGGCCGCAGUAACCUAACUGUGCGAAGGUAGCAUAAUCAGUAGUCUUUUAAUUCGGAGGCUGGAAUGAAGGGUCGGACAAGAAGUUGACUGUCUCUAUACUGGAUAUUGAAUUUUACUUUUAAGUGAAAAGGCUUAGAUGAAUUCAGGGGACGAUAAGACCCUAUAAAAUUUGAACAAAUUAAUUUUAAUGUAUGGAAUUUGAAGUGUUAAUCAGAGUUAAGUGAUUUUGUUUUGUUGGGGUGACAAAGAUAUAGAUGGAUUAAAAACUGUCUUUGUAUAUAGAAUAAAUAUAUUUAGUGUAAUGUGAUCCUUUAGUGGGGAUUAAAAGAUUUAAUUACUUUAGGGAUAACAGCGUAAUUGUUUCUGAGAGUCCUUAUCGACGAAAUUAGUUGCGACCUCGAUGUUGAAUUAAAGUUUCUUUCAAAUGUAGCAGUUUGAGUUGGUAGGUCUGUUCGACCUUUAAAAUUWUACAUGAUUUGAGUUCAAACCGGUGUGAGCCAG